rnacentral:rRNA from 1 species
CACGUAGGCGGCCUGGUAAGUCAGAUGUGAAAGCCCGGGGCUUAACCCCGGAAGUGCAUUUGAUACUGCCAGGCUUGAGUAUGGGAGAGGGAAGUGGAAUUCCUGGUGUAGAGGUGAAAUUCGUAGAUAUCAGGAGGAACACCGGUGGCGAAGGCGACUUCCUGGACCAAUACUGACGCUGAGGUGCGAAGGCGUGGGUAGCAAACAGGAUUAGAUACCCUGGUAGUCC